UACGAAGGGGGCUAGCGUUGCUCGGAAUCACUGGGCGUAAAGCGCACGUAGGCGGCUUUCUAAGUCAGGGGUGAAAUCCUGGAGCUCAACUCCAGAACUGCCUUGAUACUGGAGAGCUUGAGUCCGGAAGAGGUGAGUGGAACUCCGAGUGUAGAGGUGAAAUUCGUAGAUAUUCGGAAGAACACCAGUGGCGAAGGCGG
rnacentral:rRNA from 1 species